rnacentral:sRNA from 1 species
UGACUGUCUCCUGCCUGAUCAGGGUUGGG